UACGGGGGGGGCAAGCGUUGUUCGGAAUUACUGGGCGUAAAGGGCUCGUAGGUGGCCAACUAAGUCAGACGUGAAAUCCCUCGGCUUAACCGGGGAACUGCGUCUGAUACUGGAUGGCUUGAGUUUGGGAGAGGGAUGCGGAAUUCCAGGUGUAGCGGUGAAAUGCGCAGAUAUCAGGAGGAACACCAAUGGCGAAGGCAGCUCGCUGGGACGGUACUGACGCUGAGACGCGAAAGCGUGGGGAGCAAACAGG
rnacentral:rRNA from 1 species